GGUGUAAGACACUGAUGA
rnacentral:snRNA from 1 species